CCACCACCACCCACCUACAGGACUGUGGUUUCGUCCCCCGGACCUGGCUCGGGCCCUGGUACGGGGACCACCAGUGGUGCAUCAUCCCCUGCUCGACCAGCCACUCCUUUGCUUCCUUGCAGCAGUACCACUCCACCUCCACCUCCUCCCCGGCCUCCAUCCAGGCCAAAGCUACCUCCAGGAAAGCCUGGAGCUGGAGAUGUGUCCAGACCUUUUAGCCCUCCCAUUCAUUCUUCCAGCCCUCCUCCAAUAGCACCCUUAGCGCGGGCUGAAAGCACUUCUUCAAUAUCGUCAACCAAUUCCUUGAGCGCAGCCACCACUCCCACAGUUGGUAAAAAUUCUCUCCUCUCUUUUAAUCCUUUUGUGGUUUUGACUGGCUAUUUUUUAUGAUCUGAAAUCCCCAAGGCCCUGUGUUUCUGGUUGAAAUUGUUUUGCUGUGUGUUUUGCUAUUAUUACCUGACUCUUCUUUUAAAACCACCUUCUCAGCAAAGGAGGCAAAGUGCUUUACCUAAGCAAAUAAACAAAUAAAAGAACAUUAACACCUGU
rnacentral:sRNA from 1 species